GAAUACGACCAUACUAUCAGGAAUACACCACAUCCCGUCUGAUCUGUGAAGUUAAUCCUGAUCAGGCCGAGUUCGUAUUGAGGUAAGUGAUUACUCGAGAAACCUUGGUAUUCUUCC
rfam:Perkinsela sp. CCAP 1560/4 XT18scaffold_132, whole genome shotgun sequence.